UGUAUUUAUAUAAUUUCAGUUAUUAUUAUUAUUAUUAUUUUAUUAUGCGUCUACCCGUCUAAGGAGCGGAGGGCAAAAGCAAACCUGGACCAUCGGGUCUUUUCUCGUCUACCGAUCAAAAACAGAAAAUUAUUCACUGUAAAAAGGUAUUUGAGAGAGAGCUGCACCUCACGGAAGCCAAGAGUACGAAUGAUUUUUCGUUUCGCCCUCUAAGCCUACGAAUGAUUGUUAGAGUCAAUUCGCCCUCUAAGUCCACAUUGAAACACAAAAAAUAAUGAUGCAUGCCAUUCCAUGCACAUGUGUAAAUUACAUCAUCUAAAAUGAAAAAGGGAAAAAUUUCACGACUUUAUGUGGAGGAAAGGAGUCAUCCCCACCCAGCUAGCUGGACAGGAAACGACCGAAUUAGUUUGCCUGAAUGUAUA
rnacentral:lncRNA from 1 species